rnacentral:rRNA from 1 species
UACGUAGGGUGCAAGCGUUGUCCGGAAUUAUUGGGCGUAAAGAGCUCGUAGGCGGUUUGUCGCGUCUGCUAUGAAAUCUGGGGGCUCAACCCCCAGCCUGCAGUGGGUACGGGCAGACUAGAGUGCGGUAGGGGAGAUUGGAAUUCCUGGUGUAGCGGUGUAAUGCGCAGAUAUCCGGAGGAACACCAGUGGCGAAGGCAGAUCUCUGGGCCGUUACUGACGCUGAGGCGCGAAAGCGUGGGGAGCGAUCAGG